rnacentral:RNase_P_RNA from 1 species
CGGAGCGGGCGCAUGAUCGCUCCGGCUCAGGCCGGGGAGGAAAGUCCGAACUCUACAGGGCAGGGUGGUUCGUAACGCGAACGCCGGGCGACCGGGGGAAAGUGCCACAGAAAACAAACCGCCUGAUCCGUCAGGUAAGGGUGAAACGGCGAGGUAAGAGCUCACCGCUUCCGUGGUGACAUGGAAGGCACGGCAAACCCCACCCAGAGCAAGACCAAAUAGGGAGAUGUUUGAGGGCGGCCCGUCCGAGAUCUCCGGGUAGGUUGCACGAGAUGUUGAGCAAUCAACAUCCUAGUCAAAUGAUCAUGGCCUCUUUGCCGAGGUACAGAAUUCGGCUUAUAGCCCGCUCCGUUUU